GCAGCCCACAACAGUGUCCUGAUUCCUGGUCACAAGCCCGAGGACUACCUGUGUCAGUUCGUAACCUGGCAGUCACCCUUUUACAGUGUUUGAUUCUCGCAGUGUUUGAUUCUCGCAGUUCAAAUUAUCUUUCUUUGGGUUGUUUCCAUCACGCUCCAGCCCGAGGUAACCUUUAUUGCUGAAGGAGGAAUAAAUGUAGCUCUCUUUAUUAUUAUUUUCCGUUCUUCCUUCUGCUCCUCCUCUUCCUCCUCCUCUCUUUUUUAACACCUGUAUUUUCUUUUGCUAACUCAGCAACAAUCCCAGUCUUUGUACUUUGACAAAGAACACAUGAAGAGGCGCUUAGGCAGAGCCACCUAUGCCGUGGAGGCUAGGGAGUACAUUCUUUCUCUGAAGCUGGGAGGAGGACCGGAAGAUUAUAGCAACCUUCCCCCAGAGCAACGGAGAAAGAAACUCCAGCAGAAAGUGGAUGAAAUCAACAAGGAUAUUCAGAAAGAGCUGGAUCAAAGGUAGAUCAAACGAUAGGGGGGAAAUGCGGGGACUAUUCUAGAAAGAGCGCGGAGAAGAGCCACAAAGGAGAUUGGGGGCUGGAGGCUAAAACAUAUGAAAAAAAAUGGCUGCAGGGAACCGUGG